rnacentral:rRNA from 1 species
ACUCCUACGGGAGGCAGCAGUAGGGAAUCUUCCACAAUGGACGAAAGUCUGAUGGAGCAACGCCGCGUGAACGAUGAAGGCUUUCGGUCGUAAAGUUCUGUUGUAAGGGAAGAACAAGUGCCGCAGGCAAUGGCGGCACCUUGACGGUACCUUGCGAGAAAGCCACGGCUAACUACGUGCCAGCAGCCGCGGUAAUACGUAGGUGGCAAGCGUUGUCCGGAAUUAUUGGCGUAAAGCGCGCGCAGGCGGCCUCUUAAGUCUGAUGUGAAAGCCCCGGCUCAACCGGGGGAGGGGCCGAUUGGAAACUGGGAGGCUUGAGUAUAGGAGAGAAGAGUGGAAUUCCACGUGUAGCGGUGAAAUGCGUAGAGAUGUGGAGGAACACCAGUGGCGAAGGCGACUCUUUGGCCUAUAACUGACGCUGAGGCGCGAAAGCGUGGGGAGCAAACA